AUGCACGCUGGCGGCGUGCCUAAUCCCUGCAAGUCGCGCGAACAGACGAGGAGCUUGCUCCUCUGACGUUAGCGGCGGACGGGUGAGUAACACGUGGAUAACCUACCUAUAAGACUGGGAUAACUUCGGGAAACCGGAGCUAAUACCGGAUAAUAUAUUGAACCGCAUGGUUCAAUAGUGAAAGACGGUUUUGCUGUCACUUAUAGAUGGAUCCGCGCCGCAUUAGCUAGUUGGUAAGGUAACGGCUUACCAAGGCAACGAUGCGUAGCCGACCUGAGAGGGUGAUCGGCCACACGGGAACUGAGACAGGGUCCAGACUCCUACGGGAGGCAGCAGUAGGGAAUCUUCCGCAAUGGGCGAAAGCCUGACGGAGCAACGCCGCGUGAGUGAUGAAGGUCUUCGGAUCGUAAAACUCUGUUAUUAGGGAAGAACAAAUGUGUAAGUAACUAUGCACGUCUUGACGGUACCUAAUCAGAAAGCCACGGCUAACUACGUG
rnacentral:rRNA from 1 species